rnacentral:rRNA from 1 species
UGGUAGGGUAAAGGCCUACCAAGGCGACGAUCAUUAGCUGGUCUGAGAGGACGACCAGCCACACUGGGACUGAGACACGGCCCAUACUCCUACGGGAGGCAGCAGUGGGGAAUUUUGGACAAUGGGCGCAAGCCUGAUCCACCAAUGCCGCGUGAGUGAAGAAGGCCUUCGGGUUGUAAAGCUCUUUUGUCAGGGAAGAAACGGCUGAGGAUAAUACCUUCGGCUAAUGACGGUACCUGAAGAAUAAGCACCGGCUAACUACGUGCCAGCAGCCGCGGUAAUACGUAGGGUGCAAGCGUUAAUCGGAAUUACUGGGCGUAAAGCGUGCGCAGGCGGUUUUGUAAGUCUGACGUGAAAGCCCCGGGCUCAACCUGGGAAUUGCGUUGGAGACUGCAAGGCUUGAAUCUGGCAGAGGGGGGUAGAAUUCCACGUGUAGCAGUGAAAUGCGUACAGAUGUGGAGGAACACCGAUGGCGAAGGCAGCCCCCUGGGUCAAGA